UCCCUGUAGCUCAGUUGGUAGAGCAUGGUGUUUGCAACGCCAGGGUUGUGGGUUCGAUUCCCAUGGGGAG
rnacentral:tRNA from 1 species